rnacentral:lncRNA from 1 species
GGAUUCCCAGUGCUGUCUCCUCGUGGCCAUCGGCCGGCCGGGGCUCCCUCUGCUCCUGCCGCCUAUGCUGGCCUCGCUGGACAGCCCGAGGGAGUCGGUGGCUGGAGGCCGGUGGCCGUUGCGUGGGGCCCGCAGGCAGGGUGCCCUGGGAGGGACUGCAUCCAGCUGCGCAGGUGCAAGUGGAGUUUCUCUCCAGCCUGCAGCGACCUUGAUGAGCGAGGUGAGGCUGGGCCUUCUGGAAGGCCCCCUACUUCUCCGCCCUGAGUCCUGAACAAGCCUGCCAGGCCACUCAGAUGGACCAUUUCCAGCCCUGGUGUCCAGUAGUUGGGAGGGCCCGCUUUCACUUGGGUACCUUCACCUCCAAUCUCAGUACACCUGUCCUGAAGAAAGGGCCUGUGGUUGCUCUACAAACUUCAGAUUUUCAUCUUGGACAAUUGGAUGUGUCCUCAUGAAGCCAACCUAGAUGGGAAGACUGAGGCUCAGAGCAGGGCAGUGACCAAGGCCACCCAGCAGACAAGCAGCAGACAGCAGCCUGGGUUCUGGUCGCAGUGCCUGCAUUUUCCUCCAUCUCCUGAACUUGCCCAAGGCUGAGAAGCUCCUGGAGUUCUUGUUCAAGUAUCCUCAGCCCCCAGCAAACAUCUGAAGAAUCCGUUUCAGCUGAUUUAGAAAUAAGAACUUGUAACAGGUGCCCCAGGGGGUUCACUAAGACCAUGCUGUGUGACCUUUGGUGGCCGCUGCCCUCCGUGUGCCAUCGUACCCUCAUCUGAAAUAGAGAACGGAAGAGGUGAGGAGGCCUGCUACAGGGACAGGGUCCCAUCUUUCUACUCCACACACCUGCUGAGCCACUGUGCAUUCUGUUCCACCAAGCACUCCCGCACCUUGUCCCCAGCAGGUCACAGUGUGGUGAUGCUCUGUGGCCACUGUAGUCACCACCCCUCCCUCAUUAGCUGUGCCCUCCCUCCUCUGUGAAGCCCUCCACAUCACAGCCUUCUCAUCUGGUGUUAAUUGGUCCCUUGUUGUCAGAUACCCAGGCUACCCCCUGCCCCCAGAAUGUCUAGCCUAGGGCCAAGUACCCAGCAGGGGCUCAAUCCAGGUUGACAGCCGCAGGGGAGGCACUUCUCCUUCCGAAGGAUGCUUCUGUGGAGAGGCCAACUCCAGCUCUUCAGCACGCAGAGCAAGCCUAGUCUGUGUGGAUGCUUAGGGACUGGUGGCAGAUCACUGCCAUGCAUGUGUGCGUGUGUGUGCUGCUGGGAGCCGAGUUUCAAGAAUGGAGUCCACCUGAUGACAAAGUCCAGGGGACUCUGAAGAAAGGAAUCUGCCUGAUGAUAAAGUCCAGGAGAUUCUGAAGAAGGCUCUGCAAACCAGCAUAUUCACCAGGCCUCGAAACCCCCACCAGGCAUUAGAGACCAGUGCCUGGAGAUACAUAUCAUUGGCUUCUGUUUUUUGUUUUUAAUAAUCGAUCCAUGCCUUGCUUAUUGUGCCUUAACUCUGUGUUCUUUUUGCCUUAAGAAAGGAAUUUAUUAUUUUCUAUUUAAGCUUCUACCUAUUUGUGUUUGUUAGCCUUUAGUUUAUCUUUGGAGCUAUGGCUCCGUGCUGUCUACUUCCAAAAUAAUAGCUUCUGGGGAGGUUUCUGUUUUUUCAUAUGAUGAUCUUAGAUAAUGUGGGCAUGCUUUAUUUAGGCAGCACAAUUAUUUAGUUUUGGCAGUAUAGUAUGUAGGCAUUAGGAAUUGAUGAUUAUUAUUACUUUAUGGUACAAGUAUAAAAAUCUAUUAUAAUGUUAGGAGUUCAAGUUAAGAUUGUUGCUAGGUAGUAAAUCGACAUUUGUGUUAAAGGACAAUAAGAUGUAUGUGACAUCUACAAGGUUGUCUGUGACCUGUAUGUGCCUCUAGCUUUCUGCUUGUUCACUCUUUCAUGGCUUUAUGGUGUACUUUCCCUGAUCCAGGUGCCUUUUUCUAUCUUUACACUUAAUCUGUAACCCUGGAACAGUGAGGAGAUACUGAUCUUUUUUGCUGAUAUAAGUUUUAAGUUUUUCCCUAUAUAAGCUGCUGCCGUUCACCAAUAAAUUUGAGACUGCUUGAGCACUACUGGAGAGCGUGUGCGUCUCCGUUAUUCUUCCUGCGCCUGCUGCCCCUCCUCUUCGGGAAAUCGCC